ACGCUCGACACCUACGGGAGCAGCAGUGGGGAAUAUUGCACAAUGGGGGAAACCCUGAUGCAGCGACGCCGCGUGAGCGAAGAAGUAUUUCGGUAUGUAAAGCUCUAUCAGCAGGGAAGAAAAUGACGGUACCUGACUAAGAAGCCCCGGCUAACUACGUGCCAGCAGCUGCGGUAAUCUGAGCGGGCUGGCAAGGC
rnacentral:rRNA from 1 species